GCCCUGGUGGUCUAGCGGUAUGAUUCUUCCUUAGGGUUGUCGCAAGAUAUAUCCACCUGGAAGAGGUCCCAGGUUCGAUCCCUGGCCAGGGCC